AUGUGGGGUUACCCUUCAGUGAAUUCAUAGCUGUUGUGGGGGUUUACGCGGGGAAGUGAAACAUCUCAGUACCCGUAGGAGGAGAAAAUAAUAAUGAUUCUGCUAGUAGUGGCGAACGAACGUGGAUGAGGCUAAACCGUGUGCAUGUGAUACCUGGUAGGGGUUGUGUGUGCGGUGUUGUGGGCCCCAAUUGGCGGUGACUACCAUCAUCGUGCUCGUGUGUUGUUGUUAGGUGAAGUGGUUUGGAAUGGCCUGCCGGAGAAGGUGAGAGUCCUGUAGUUGAAGACAAUGGCAUGUGGGUUGUUGGGUUGCCCGAGUAGCAGCGGGCUCGUGGAAUCUGCUGUGAAUCUGCCGGGACCACCCGGUAAGCCUAAAUACUUAGUGUGACCGAUAGUGGAUAGUACCGUGAGGGAAUGGUGAAAAGUACCCCGGGAGGGGAGUGAAAUAGUUCCUGAAACUGUGUGUCUACAAGCCGUCAGAGCCUUUUGGGUGAUGGCGUGCCUUUUGAAGAAUGAGCCUGCGAGUCAGCGGCGCGUCGCGAGGUUAACCC
rnacentral:rRNA from 1 species